UGGGAUGUCGGGUCAGGCCUUGGGCCAACUAGGCACUCUCGCAGUUCCUCGCCUUCAGGAAGGUGUUUUUGGCAGGGGCCUUACGGGUGCGCGCUUCGGUCCUGGAGGCUUAACCUAGCCUCUCUCCAUCAGCGCCACCGUCUGGGGCCAACAGGAGGGAGCUUUCCCCUCUGUCUCCCAGCCUUUGGACUGUCACCAAACAAGCCAUUCGUUCACCAAAUACUUAUUAAGCGCUAGCAU
rnacentral:lncRNA from 1 species